UGGUCCUACGGGAGGCAGCAGUGGGGAAUAUUGGACAAUGGGCGAAAGCCUGAUCCAGCCAUGCCGCGUGUGUGAAGAAGGUCUUCGGAUUGUAAAGCACUUUAAGUUGGGAGGAAGGGCAAGUUGCCUAAUACGUAACUGUUUGACGUUACCGACAGAAUUAAGCACCGGCAACACA
rnacentral:rRNA from 1 species